rnacentral:lncRNA from 1 species
UCAACACUUCAAUAAAAUAAAGUACCACAUACUCAUCGGUUCCGAAGUGUGAGAUCGGUCAUUUGUUUACCACUCGGGGUGAAACAAUUAUAUGAAAACCAAGAUAUAAGGACCAAUUGUGACCAUUGAUUUACCACCCUGGUAAAAUCAAUAUAGGAUCCUUCGUCUACCACUCGGGGUAGAACGACAAAUGGGCUGCCAUCGAAUGGCCAGCAAGUCCUACCAUUCCUCCUUACACCAUAGUGACCAUAGGACAAAAUAGGACCAGGACCAAUAGUGAAAAAGUGUCUUUUUAUUGAUAAUGAACAAUAAUAUACAGACUUCCGAUGAAUUAACUUGAUCUUUAUUGAAAGUAUUUCCGAAGCCUGCCAGCGUGCC